CCAAUAGCGUAUAUUAAAGUUGUUGCAGUUAAAAAGCUCGUAGUUGAAUUUCGGGAUCAGUACGCCGGUCGUGCCUUCGGUAUGCACUGGUGUCACUGGUUCCUCCCUUCUGACGAACCGUCAUGCCAUUCACUUGGUGUGGCGGGAAAUCAGGACUGUUACUUUGAAAAAAUUAGAGUGUUUAAAGCAGGCCCACGCUUGAAUACAUUAGCAUGGGAAAAUGAAAUAGGACGUUGAUCUUAUUUUGUUGGUUUCUAGGAUUGACGUAAUGAUUAAUAGGGAUAGUUGGGGGCAUUAGUAUUCAAUUGUCAGAGGUGAAAUUCUUGGAUUUAUUGAAGACUAACUACUGCGAAAGCAUUUGCCAAGGAUGUUUUCAUUAAUCAAGAACGAAAGUUAGGGGAUCGAAGACGAUCAGAUACCGUCGUAGUCUUAACCAUAAACUAUGCCGACUAGGGAUCGGAUGAUGUUAAUUUUUUAAUGACUCAUUCGGCGCCUUACG
rnacentral:rRNA from 1 species